UACCGAAGCUACGGCAUCAUUAUGAUGGGUAGGGGAGCUUCCCAUACGGGUUGAAGCAUGACCGUAAGGACAUGUGGACAGGAUGGGAGUGAGAAUGUUGGCAUGAGUAGCGAGAUGUGGGUGAGAAUCCCACAGGCCGUAAACCCAAGGUUUCCAGGGGAAGGUUCGUCCGCCCUGGGUUAGUCGGGACCUAAGCUGAGGCCGAAAGG
rnacentral:rRNA from 1 species